ACAAACUUCUUCAUAUCAAAGUAAAAAAAAAGGUGGAACAUAUUCACUUUACUAAUUGAGGUAUUGGUGUAAUUAUAAUAAACAGGUGUAUAUAUACUAUAUGUGCAGGUGUGUUCAUAAAUAUAUAUAUAUACAUACAUUUCUGUCCAUUUUGAUGGGUACAGUUGUUAGUUAAAGAGAUCUAGUGUACACACAUGCCACACUAAGAAGUUUGAUGACAUUUGGAAGUCAUAGAAAUAAGCAAAAAUCAGUUAGGAGGGUGAAAAAUCCAAACCCAGUCAGUUGGUUCCUGGUAUCACAUCUCCUCAGCCUCUUACAAGGCUUAUCAAUCUUCACUCAUCACUUUAUCAUACAUGAGAUGGUGUUGUUUAGGUGGAAUACUGGAAUAUGGUAUGUGCACACAUCAUGUAUUCUGAGUCUAUAAAAUGGUAUGUGAAUAAGUUGAAGGAAAAUUUUACUAAAAAAUAUUUUGGACAGUUUUUUUGUACUAAGAAUGAAAGAAGA